CUUAUAAAAAAUAUGUUUUGGACUAGUAGUAAAAAUGAAAUUUAACGGAUUUGGCGGCAAGAUAGCCAUUUAGAGGAACCUGCCCUAUAAACGAUGAACCACGAAUACCUUACUUUUUUUUGAGAUCAGUUUGUAUACCGCUGUUGGCAGUUAGUUUCAUUAGAAAACUUUCGUUAAUAAUAUAAUUAUUGACUUCAAGUAAAGGUGCAGCAAAUAAAAAAGACAGAGGUGGGUUACAUUUAAUUGAAUAAAACGGAUAAAGUUAUGAAAUUGCUUUUGAAGGUGGAUUUAAUAGUAAAGUUUAAUAAAACUUGAUGGGAGCUCUGUCUUGUG
rnacentral:rRNA from 1 species